rnacentral:snRNA from 1 species
GGGGAGAUGCCAUGAUCAUGAAGGUGGUUUUCCCAGAGACAGGCUUCUCUACUGUACUCUGAAUGUGCUGACCCCACCCCUGUGAUUUCCUGAGGGAGUUUCAGC